AUAUAUCAACCUUCUCUUAUUUGAGUUGUUUGGAUGUGGGGGUUUGCUGGACUCUUAAAUGAUUCAGCUCCCCUAAAAUGCAUUAGCAGAACAACCUGUUCAUUGGCGUGAUAAUUAUCUAUGCUAUUGAAUGUGAGGGCAGUUCAGCUUUCUAAUCGUCCUUGGACAAUUUAUCAUUA
rnacentral:misc_RNA from 1 species